rnacentral:rRNA from 1 species
CCUACGGGGGGCUGCAGUGGGGAAUAUUGGACAAUGGGCGAAAGCCUGAUCCAGCCAUGCCGCGUGUGUGAAGAAGGCCUUCGGGUUGUAAAGCACUUUCAGUGGGGAAGAAAGCCUUGGGGCUAAUACCCUCGAGGAAGGACAUCACCCACAGAAGAAGCACCGGCUAACUCCGUGCCAGCAGCCGCGGUAAUACGGAGGGUGCGAGCGUUAAUCGGAAUUACUGGGCGUAAAGCGCGCGUAGGCGGUCUGAUAAGCCGGUUGUGAAAGCCCCGGGCUCAACCUGGGAACGGCAUCCGGAACUGUCAGGCUAGAGUGCAGGAGAGGAAGGUAGAAUUCCCGGUGUAACGGUGAAAUGCGUAGAGAUCGGGAGGAAUACCAGUGGCGAAGGCGGCCUUCUGGACUGACACUGACGCUGAGGUGCGAAAGCGUGGGUAGCAAACAGGAUUAGAUACCCCAGUAGUC